rnacentral:lncRNA from 1 species
UUCUCUGAGAUUAGGAACAAGUCCUUUUGCUAUAGGCUGGAUAAGCAGCUGUGAUUCUCCAGGGCAAGCUUGCCUGGAAUUCUGCACAGAGGUCACAGCUAGCAACUGAGGAGUGUUCUGCAAGGAGGUUUAUCACCACCAGGAAAAGAGCAUACUCAUGAAGAACUGUUGUGCUGUAACUUGUUAAGACUCAGUACUCUCUUCUUGGAUCUGAGCACUACAUUAUCACAGAUUGGCCCAAGGAAAGCAAUACCUGGGCUAGGACUACUUUUUGGCUAAGGUUCAAAGWCUUGGCUGUGGGAUAACUUAGAAUUUGGGUCAUUGUUAUUUUGUGAAUAAGACUGAAAACUUAGAAAUGUAGCUGGUACUGAUACUUGGUAGUUACCUGUUCUAGUGAGCGUUCUGCUGUCAGAUGACAUUAUCUAAUUGUUUUCUGGGGAAAACUAGUAAAGAAAGUCACUUCUGGAAAGGAACUUAAUAAAAAAAAAAGUUAUCAAUCGUGAAUGAAGCA